AUACUUACCUGGCAGGGGAGAUGCCAUGAUCAGCAAGGUGGCUCACCCAGGUGCCUUCUACUCACCUGUUCUGCGACAGUUGUCCUGAGACCCAUUCAUUGACUAUGUCUUC
rnacentral:snRNA from 1 species